UUAAGUUGUUAGUGGCUAUUUUGUUUGCAAGACAGGUAAGUAAAGUUUCGAUCAAAUCUGUUCUUGAUAACAUGUUUCUAAUAUUCUUUUAGAUAAUGAUUGUAUUUACCAAAUUAUUAGAUAUUAAUCUUAUUUGAAUUACAAAAUAUAUAAUCUAACAUAAAAGACACAUGUAUGAAUUGUAUUUAGAGCUAUGAUAAAAAAAAUAUUAUUUAUUUAACAUAAAAGAUGAACAUGAUAUAAUCUCUAUAUGAUUGAAUCUUAUCUACUGACAUUCUCUAAGUUUAACAGAGAAAAGUGAU
rnacentral:lncRNA from 1 species